rnacentral:rRNA from 1 species
AAUCAACCGAGAUUCCCCCAGUAGCGGCGAGCGAACGGGGAGCAGCCCAGAGCCUGAAUCAGUAUGUGUGUUAGUGGAAGCGUCUGGAAAGGCGCGCGAUACAGGGUGACAGCCCCGUACACAAAAAUGCACAUGCUGUGAGCUCGAUGAGUAGGGCGGGACACGUGGUAUCCUGUCUGAAUAUGGGGGGACCAUCCUCCAAGGCUAAAUACUCCUGACUGACCGAUAGUGAACCAGUACCGUGAGGGAAAGGCGAAAAGAACCCCGGCGAGGGGAGUGAAAAAGAACCUGAAACCGUGUACGUACAAGCAGUGGGAGCACGCUUAGGCGUGUGACUGCGUACCUUUUGUAUAAUGGGUCAGCGACUUAUAUUCUGUAGCAAGGUUAACCGAAUAGGGGAGCCGAAGGGAAACCGAGUCUUAACUGGGCGUUAAGUUGCAGGGUAUAGACCCGAAACCCGGUGAUCUAGCCAUGGGCAGGUUGAAGGUUGGGUAACACUAACUGGAGGACCGAACCGACUAAUGUUGAAAAAUUAGCGGAUGACUUGUGGCUGGGGGUGAAAGGCCAAUCAAACCGGGAGAUAGCUGGUUCUCCCCGAAAGCUAUUUAGGUAGCGCCUCGUGAAUUCAUCUCCGGGGGUAGAGCACUGUUUCGGCAAGGGGGUCAUCCCGACUUACCAACCCGAUGCAAACUGCGAAUACCGGAGAAUGUUAUCACGGGAGACACACGGCGGGUGCUAACGUCCGUCGUGAAGAGGGAAACAACCCAGACCGCCAGCUAAGGUCCCAAAGUCAUGGUUAAGUGGGAAACGAUGUGGGAAGGCCCAGACAGCCAGGAUGUUGGCUUAGAAGCAGCCAUCAUUUAAAGAAAGCGUAAUAGCUCACUGGUCGAGUCGGCCUGCGCGGAAGAUGUAACGGGGCUAAACCAUGCACCGAAGCUGCGGCAGCGACGCUGAUGCGUUGUUGGGUA